ACGGAGGAUGCAAGCGUUAUCCGGAAUCAUUGGGUUUAAAGGGUCCGUAGGUGGAUAAUUAAGUCAGAGGUGAAAUCCUGCAGCUCAACUGUAGAAUUGCCUUUGAUACUGGUUAUCUUGAAUUAUUGUGAAGUAGUUAGAAUAUGUAGUGUAGCGGUGAAAUGCAUAGAUAUUACAUAGAAUACCGAUUGCGAAGGCAGAUUACUAACAAUAUAUUGACACUGAUGGACGAAAGCGUGGGGAGCGAACAGG
rnacentral:rRNA from 1 species